rnacentral:rRNA from 1 species
CGCGUGGCGGGUGCUAUACAUGCAGUCGAGCGAAUGACGAGAAGCUUGCUUCUCUGAUUUAGCGGCGGACGGGUGAGUAACACGUGGGCAACCUGCCCUACAGAUUGGGAUAACUCAGGGAAACCUGGGCUAAUACCGAAUAAUCCUUCGAAUCACAUGUUUUGAAGUUGAAAGGCGCUUCGGCGUCACUGUAGGAUGGGCCCGCGGUGCAUUAGCUAGUUGGUGGGGUAACGGCCUACCAAGGCAACGAUGCAUAGCCGACCUGAGAGGGUGAUCGGCCACAUUGGGACUGAGACACGGCCCAAACUCCUACGGGAGGCAGCAGUAGGGAAUCUUCCACAAUGGACGAAAGUCUGAUGGAGCAACGCCGCGUGAGUGAUGAAGGUUUUCGGAUCGUAAAACUCUGUUGUAAGGGAAGAACAAGUACGUUAGGAAAUGAACGUACCUUGACGGUACCUUAUUAGAAAGCCACGGCUAACUACGUGCCAGCAGCCGCGGUAAUACGUAGGUGGCAAGCGUUGUCCGGAUUUAUUGGGCGUAAAGCGCGCGCAGGUGGUUUCUUAAGUCUGAUGUGAAAGCCCACGGCUCAACCGUGGAGGGUCAUUGGAAACUGGGGAACUUGAGUGCAGAAGAGGAUAGUGGAAUUCCAAGUGUAGCGGUGAAAUGCGUAGAGAUUUGGAGGAACACCAGUGGCGAAGGCGACUGUCUGGUCUGUAACUGACACUGAGGCGCGAAAGCGUGGGGAGCAAACAGGAUUAGAUACCCUGGUAGUCCACGCCGUAAACGAUGAGUGCUAAGUGUUAGGGGGUUUCCGCCCCUUAGUGCUGCAGCUAACGCAUUAAGCACUCCGCCUGGGGAGUACGACCGCAAGGUUGAAACUCAGAAAAAUUUUUCCGGG